rnacentral:rRNA from 1 species
GAUGAACGCUGGCGGCGUGCGUAAUACAGGGAAGUCGAGCGAAAAGACGAGGAGUUUGUUUCUGUGACGUUAGCGUCUGACGGGGGUGUAACAGGUGGAUAACCUCCCUAUAAGACUGGGAUAACUUCGGGAAACCGGACCUAAGACCCGGGAAUCUCUUAAACAGCAUGGUUCACUCGUGAAAGACUGGUUUGCUGUCACUUAUAGAUGGAUCUGCGCUGCACUUGCUAGUUGGUAAGGUAACGGCCUACCAAGGCAACGAUGCGUAGGCGACCUGAGAGGGGGAUCGGCCACCCUGGAACUGAGACACGGUCCAGACUCCUACGGGAGGCAGCCGUAGGGAAUCUUCCGCAAUGGGCGAAAGCCUGACGGAGCCACGCCGCGUGAGUGAUGAAGGUCUUCGGAUCGUAGAACUCUGUUAUUAGGGAAGAACCAAUGUGUAAGUAACUAUGCACGCCUUGACGGUACCCAAUCAGAGAGCCACGGCUCACUACGUG